ACCAAGAGGUAGACUUGAGGUACCAGUUGUCUGUCACAGUUGAUGAAGAGUAUGAUGAAGCCAUACUGGAAAGACUGGCAGUGUGGCAUAUGUUUUAAAGCCUGAUCCGACCUAUCAUGAGUCUUCCACUGUGAAAUGCUAGAAGAUGACCAAGAUCACCAGGUGUUAACUCAUUUCCAAAUAUACAAGCAAGCCAGAGA
rnacentral:lncRNA from 1 species